GGGUUGUGAGGUUAAGCGACUAAGCGUACACGGUGGAUGCCCUGGCAGUCAGAGGCGAUGAAGGACGUGCUAAUCUGCGAUAAGCGCCGGUAAGGUGAUAUGAACCGUUAUAACCGGCGAUUUCCGAAUGGGGAAACCCAGUGUGACUCGUCACACUAUCAUUAACUGAAUCCAUAGGUUAAUGAGGCGAACCGGGGGAACUGAAACAUCUAAGUACCCCGAGGAAAAGAAAUCAACCGAGAUUCCCCCAGUAGCGGCGAGCGAACGGGGAGGAGCCCAGAGCCUGAAUCAGCAUGUGUGUUAGUGGAAGCGUCUGGAAAGGCGCGCGAUACAGGGUGACAGCCCCGUACACAAAAGCGCAUAUGCUGUGAGCUCGAUGAGUAGGGCGGGACAUGUGGUAUCCUGUCUGAAUAUGGGGGGACCAUCCUCCAAGGCUAAAUACUCCUGACUGACCGAUAGUGAACCAGUACCGUGAGGGAAAGGCGAAAAGAACCCCGGCGAGGGGAGUGAAAAAGAACCUGAAACCGUGUACGUACAAGCAGUGGGAGCCCCACCACUAAGCCAGUGGUGAACUCCACAUACGCAUCCUUUGCUGAGGAUACGGUUAACGGAGCGAAAGCGACGUUCAACCGCAAAAGAAGCAGAGGGGGCUUAGUGGUGG
rnacentral:rRNA from 1 species